rnacentral:rRNA from 1 species
UACGAAGGGUGCAAGCGUUACUCGGAAUUACUGGGCGUAAAGCGUGCGUAGGUGGUUCGUUAAGUCUGAUGUGAAAGCCCUGGGCUCAACCUGGGAAUUGCAUUGGAUACUGGCGGGCUAGAGUACGGUAGAGGGUGGCGGAAUUCCUGGUGUAGCAGUGAAAUGCGUAGAUAUCAGGAGGAACAUCCGUGGCGAAGGCGGCCACCUGGACCAGUACUGACACUGAGGCACGAAAGCGUGGGGAGCGAACAGG